CACCCACCAUCCCUAAGAAAAGUUAGACCGAAAUCUGACCGCACGAUCCCUCGCUCACCGCUUCAUCCCAACCGUUCGUUCACGACCCUCCUGCCUAUAAAGAUCCUACCUCUGCGGUCUCAUUCCCUGCCUCUUCGCCUCUCAUGGGCGGGUGUGCCGGUUUGCUGGGUUGCGUCGCUUCGGUUUCCGCCCGUUUGGUUUUCGUUUAUUUUCUCUUCUCCUGGCUUUUUAGGGUUCUGUUUUUGUUUUUGGGUGGAUCGUUUCUUCACGCUUGUUUGGUUUCGUGAUUUCGAGAUUAAUUAGGAACAGCGGAAGGAAUGGGCUUGAUCUUGGUCGGGAGAAUCGCAGAUCAGAUUGAAAGUCGCGAAGACUAUGUUAUUUUGUCAGAUCAGAUCGAGAGUAGUAAGGCUGUGUUUUCCCCUUGAUUGAAUUAUUGUUUUUGGGUUUCUUGCUGUGGUGCGGAGGAUCUAGUUGGGUCUGAUUUUGGAAUAAAUUUGGUCAUCUAGAUGAUCUGAUAGCGGAGAUAGGGGUGAUGUACCGUCGCGGACUUGUUUUGGCUUUGUAUACUGGAAUUCUGAGGUCGUGAGCCUUGUUAUGCAGUUUUGGUUUUUUCGGGGAUGGCGGCCGAUGGAAAGGCUGCUUUUUGUUGGUUAUUGCUCCUGUUCCCUGACAUUUAAAGGUUUCUGGUUUAUUGUUUGAUGGUUAUAGUAUGAGAGAAUGACUUGGAAGCUUGGUUUCGCAUUUUGUUAUGAUGCAGUACUGGCAAGGAAAUCAGUAUUUUGAUGUUAGACUGUCUUCACGGUGGUGUAGAGAAGUUUGCCAAGAUGCGGUUUAUGUGAAAUUCUAUAUUUAACUAUAUUUAGAGAUAGUGAUCGACCACUGACUUUGUGAACGUGUGUUUCAUGAUGGUUCAGGCCCUAUCCUUGAAAAGGAGACCUAUUCCUAACGUGGACUCGAAAGAAAUGAUCCGGCGGCGGUUCCUCUUUUCUUCAAUUGAAAGGGGGUGUCAAUUCUCUAGUGGGUUUGAUCUAUAAGGGGUGAACUCUCUUCUUGGGGUUUAAUGUUAUCCUAUUUGUUUGGCUUUGUAGCUUUUAUUCGCUGUUUGCAAGGAGUGUGGAGGGUCAAAGUUUCCAUGAAAACAGUAUGCGACGAAGCAACUAAUCACUGGGCACAGUAUCAUUGGGAGCUAUCUCUAAUCCUAUUCUGUGACCCCGUGUUGUUUUGAGGGUCUUUCACUCCAUUUUUUCAUAAAUUGCAACCUCUUUCUGGUUGGUAGUUGCCGUCGUUCAUGUUGAGACCGUAUUGCAGGAUCACGAUCGAUUUUUGCACAAGGACAACAAUCUGGAGUUGGAAGAAGAUCUCUUGAGUGACAUGAUCAUCUUGUCUAACUAACCUGAACUUUUUCUUUUCGUCAUCAACCUUUUCGGGUGUUGGUUAAUUGUUUUCAAUCAAAUGCAGGCUCUCUGCCUUUUCUCGACGCAAGCGUUUGCAAGUUGAAUAUCAACUACAACCUGAAAAUAGAUCUGUAAGAUGUGUCGGACUUCCUCUCAUAGUUCAUCCUCACUAAACACCUAUCUCGAUGGUCCUAUUGUUCUAUUUAAAUGGGGGUUUACACUUUACGUCGUUAUCGGAUUCUCCUAGUUGUUGGGGUUGGCUUUGAGCCGCUCCGUGGAUUAAAUGUUGGGCUUUUUUGUUUCUUUAGCAGUUGCUUCUUUGUGCCUUUAGAGGGCGAGGGUACAUCAAGCUCAUUGGACAUUAGAAGCCAUGGAAUAUCUAGAUCUUCUCAUUAAUUCGCGGGGUCUUCCACACGUCCUCUACCCGUUGUGAUAUCGGUUAUGGAAAAAAUGAAAGAGUGGUUUGAUUUACUCCUUUCCUCAUUCGAAAUGCUGAGGUUUUUUCUUCCUUGGAGUUUGCUUUUGAUUUUGUCGCCUACAUGGCUGGAACACGAUCCUUAAUAUUUCAUCUCAAGGGGUAUAUCUGUUUUAUGGUUCAUCUCUACGUGUCUAUAUUAGGAACUCAUGUUGUGGGGAUCCUUGCAGGGGUAGCGGUGAUGGAUGCCUUUAUGAGAGUGGUGGUUGGUGGUAUGGUUGUGUCUACUUUGUCACGGCACUAAACUCUGUUGUUCGUUUCUCGUGGGAAAGAUGAUUCUGAUUUGGCCUUUCCAAAGCUUUUUCAUCAUUUUUCUUCAAACGAAGACUUACUGGGAUAAUUUUUUUUUUUCAGAACAAAUUAGUAGGACCUAGUAGGGAGCAGUAAUAAUGCUGCCGGACAACAACCUCCAAAGUGUUAUCGGUUUGGAUUUAUCACGACACUGAACUCUGUUGUUCGGUUCUAUUGGGGAAGAUGAUUCUUAUUCGGCACUUCCAAAGUUUUGUCACUUUUUCUUCAAGCGAAGACUUACUUGGAUAAGUCACUUGUUCUUUCAGGACAAAUUAGUAGGACCUAUUAGGGAGCCGUCAUAAUUGUGCCGGACGACAACCUCCAAAGUGUUAUCGGUUUGGAUUUAUAGCGGCACUGAACUCUUGGUUGUUCGGUUCUAUUGGGGAAGAUGAUUCUUAUUUGGCACUUCCAAAGUUUUUUGUUCACUUUUUCUUCAAGCGAAGACUUACUUGUAUAAAUCACUUGUUCUUUCAGGACAAAUUAGUAGGACCUAUUAGGGAGCCGUCAUAAUUGUGCCGGACGACAACCUCCAAAGUGUUAUCGGUUUGGAUUUAUAGCGGCACUGAACUCUUUGUUGUUCGGUUCUAUUGGGGAAGAUGAUUCUUAUUUGGCACUUCCAAAGCUUUUUCGUCACUUUUUCUUCCAGCGAAGACUUACUGGGAUAAAUCACUUGUUUUUUCAGGACAAAUUAGUAGGACAUAGUAGGGAGCCCGUCAUAAUUGUGCUGGACAACUACUUCCUAAACGUUAUCGGUUUGGAUUUCUUUUGCAAGUGGUUUCGUAGCUUUUGUUAUUUUUGUAAUGGUAGUUAUGGUGCUGGGAGUAAAAUGCUUGUUACUCUUUCAGGGGUUUAUGUUCUCUUUCAAGAGUUUAAGUGGUGCAGCUGGCCCUGUUAAUGUUGCCACACAACGUUGAACCAUCAAAAUGUUUUGGUUUGGAUUGUUUGUGGAAGUAGUUGAAAGUCUGGUUGCAUUUGUUUUUAAUCAGAUUCAUGGUACUUGAGAAAAUCCUUGUUAUUUCAGGAAGCUAUCGGGUGCAAUUAACUACACGAAGAUUUACACAAUGAUUAACCCAACAAAUUGGCUCGGUUUGGAUUGUUUCCUUUGUUAUUUGAAGCUGGAUAAUAUUUUUUUAUUGAAGUGAUUGUGGUGAUGGUACUGGAGUAAAAUUGUUUGUUCUUUCGGGAUCUAAAUGGUUCGAAUUCUUAGUUGUUGCUGGGAUGGUUGACUUCCAAAGUUCUCUUGGCUUGGAUUGUUUCUGAAAAUUUUAGGAUUGAUAGCCUUUUUUUAUUUGGCUUUCUAUAAGUGAUGGUGGGGUGACGGAUCUCUGGUGUAAAUCGCUUGCUUUUUCUGGAGCGCUAGGUGGUGCAACUGGCUCUCUCCUUAUUGAUGUUGCACACUCCAAUGACGUCUGGGUUUGGAUUGUUUAUGAAAUGGUUUUUUUUUUUUAUUCGAAUGAUUGCUGUGAUUCCUCUUCAUAAGUGGUGGGUAGUGACCAGUGGUGUAAAUCUCGUGUUUUUUUUCAGGAGCUUGGUGGUGCAAUUGGCUCUCCUAGCUGAUGCUGUACAACAUUAGCUGCUUAGAUGUCUGGGUUUGCACUAACUAUAAAAUGGUUAUUAAUUUUUUUUUUUUUUUGGAGUGGUGGUUAUGUUGGCGAAUCCCUUUUGUUAGGCGCUGGGUGUGCAACCUCCUAGUUUCCCUCCAGUGGUCUCGGUACUCUUUUUUUUUCUCUGUCUCAAGAGCCAUAAACCCCCAGUGAUUCCGUUGUUUUCCCAGUUGUUAGGUGGACCGUUUUUAAUUGUUGCUGAACAACAUUGACCGCCUAAGAGUUUUCUGGUUUGGACUGUUUCCUUUGGUUUUCUAUUUUUUUUCGACAAAUGGUAUUAUAGAGUAAACCACUUGUUUUUUUCAGGAGCUAUAUGCGAGGGAACCGAUUCUUGGGUUACUGUCCCACCACGUUAACCGCAAAAUUUCUCGGUUUGGUUGCCCUUUUCAAGAUAGUCGAAUAUGUUGGUUGUUUUUUCAUGAUGGGUAAUACCGCUGGAAGUUACCAUUUGGCUUUUUCAGGAUUUAAGUGGGGCAAGCUUCAACACAUUAUUCAGCUGGCAAAAUGUUUCGGUUUGACAUGUUCUUUAGAAUACCUAUUUUAAUAUGUGGUACUCUCAGGUCAAUAGCUUUUCUUGUUCUCCAAACUAUCUAUUAUUCGUAUUUUUAGUAAUUGCUUUUCUUUCUAUUCAGACAUUCUAGGGUUCGAUAGGUUUUCUAUAAUUUUCCGUUCUUUCUAUAGUUUGCGAAUUGAGGUUUGAUAUUUUUAUGUAGGGAUUUUAUGGUUCUUGACUGCUGUGCAGAAGAAAAAAUCAGCUGUGAAAAGGGGCGACCCGCUCCGUGUUUUGGCCCGGCUUUUACACUAAAAGUGUCUGUAGGAAAUUUAUUGUGAAAUAAAAUUUGUAGCAUAGUAACCUAUUCCCAAUUGGUUUCAAGAGUUUGGUUCUACCUCGUGUUGGCAAUGCUUUUUUUUUUUGGGAGGAUUUUGAAGCAGUUUUUGUGGAAAUGUGUAAUUUUUAUGGUUGAAAGCCUUUAUAUUGGUUAAUAUACAGUCUAGCGCCAAUAUUUUGGUUCUCCCUCAAUGUGCCAUGCUGUUCGGUGAUUUGUUUUGGCAUGAUUCAUGAAGAAAUAUAUAAUUUUUAUGGUGGAAAGCCUUUUAUGGGUUGUGCAGUCCAGCUUCUGUUUAUUGGUUUUGGCUUGGUGGUGGUUCCAUGAGGUGAUGAUUUGCUCGUUUGGUGGGGUAAUCUGUACAGAUAAACAAGAAUCGGUUUAUGAGAUUUUGGGUGGUGCUUAAUAACAGCUUCUGUUGUUCAAUAAAAGCUUUUGCUUAUUUCAUCUUUCCAGCAGUAUUAUGAGAUUUUGGGUGUUGUUUAAUAAAAGCUUUUGCUUGUUUGUGCAUCUUUCACGGCCGGAUUUUGUUCCCGGUUCACAUAAGUAUAUCAUGGCUUGGAGUCUUGUUGAAUGUUGUGUAAGACCGUCCCCUAAGAUUAUGAUGAUCCUGAUUUCAUUGUUACAAUUUGACUGGUUGAAAAGAUGAUGGGGUCUCCAUUGAUUAUUAGCUGCUUUCAGAAAUCUAUCAGUUAUUUGACUGCACAAAUGCAUGUUGUUGGGGUCUUCCUGGAAGUGGCUAUGUCGAAUAAUUCCAGUUGUGAAGUUCUCUCAUGAUUGUGGCAACUUUUUGUAUCGUGGUUUUAGACGUUUCGGCUUCUUGACACAAGCGUCUGUGGGAUUUAUUUGAGUGGUGAUCUUUUGUUUGUUCGUUAUGCGAGGGGAGCUUCUUUUCUUUCCUUUCACUGGUUCGAGGUUUUGUCUGCAAACAUCAAAGUACCACCGACCUUCGAGUUUUGCGAGGAGCUUCCUUACUUUCCUUUCACUGGUUCUUUUAAGAGGUCUUGUUUCUUUUCUGCAAGCAACCAAGUAUCGGCCUUCCUGUUUACAGCUUAUUUUGCAUCUGCCAGUUCGCCAUUUUGUGAAGCCUUUCUCGGAUUGGAAAUCUGCACGAGAAGUUCUAUUUAGACGACCAGUAUUAUUUUUACAAGUUUGCAAUUUUGUGGAAGCCUUUUUUGGAUUGUUUUAUUUAGAAGAAGCUGUUUUUGGAUGCGAAAUUUUCAUAUGCCAUAUGCCAUCAGUGUUUGUUGUAGACAAUGGAAUUUGAAAUUUGGUGGAGCCUUUCGGAAAUUUCCAUGUCUUGUUUGGGCGACGGGAAUUAGGUUGCAUGUGCAAUUUCUGGAGCUGUUUUUGGAUCGGAAAUUUUCAUAUGCCAUCAGUGCUUGUUUUGUUGAUGUAGAGGCUUUGUACAACCAUCUCUGACGGCACGAUGUUUUGUAUGCAAUUUUGAGGUGAGCUAUUGUGGUGUGUUGACGGGGUUGUUGUGCAGUUUGAAGAGAGCUAUUGUUGUGUAUCGUCGGGGUUGUGCAAUUUUGAAGAGCGCUAUUGUUGUAGUGAGUUUUACAUGUCUUACACGGAAAAGAUGCACAUGUGUUAUCUCUAGGGUUUGGUUUUGUGGUUUUCCUAGUGGAGUUGACAUAGCAAUUACGAUACCUUUCCUAUUAGCUGUAAGUGGGCCUUUCUUUAUUUGGAGUUCUUAGUUUUUGCGCGUUAGGCUUUUGAUACUUUUGCACCGCUUUAUGUCUUAGUUUGUGUGUGUUGGGCUUGAUUUUUUUCCACCGCUUUAUGUGUGAAAAAGUCAUUCCCUCUUUCGACUUAGCCGUAUGGUAAACUGUGUGCAUUGUAGCCGUUCCAUUGUGUGGCUUGUCCGACCUUUGUUUUGACCUUUGUUUUUUUUUGUGUGGGUUUAAUAUUUUGUUUUUUAAGUAUUGUAAUUUGUAUGGUAUAGGUAGGAUUAGGUAACUCCGCCAUUGGCCGAGUCGUCCCGACUUGCCAAUGCCAGUCCCCAGCCUGGGUGAAGGAGGAGGGCGAUCCUUACAAACAUGUAAUGAAUAUGUGUUAACAGGUUCGGCAGAACAAUUUUACAUUGUUCCCUUGACAGGGUUGACAGGGCUUUCGACGGUAUUCGCCUGAAGUCCUUCCUAAACCAAGAAGCAGGGCAGCACCGUUCUGGGGUCGAUUGGUGAAGGCGGCUUCGAUUGCCUACGCAAUAGAAGGUCGAUAAAGAAUUCAACAAGAAAGCUUGCAUGGUUAAACUUGGCUGUCAUUGUACGUGCUGCAGCGGUGGUAAGAGUAUCGCGUCGGUGUAAAGUAUCUUUGUAUCUAAGAUGUACUGGUGGUACCAUAGAAAAUGUCUCGACCUUAAGAAAUUCAAGCUAUUGUGUUUCUUCA